UAGCAGUGACAGCCUCAAAUUGUGAGAUUUGGCCCAAGUAAUUCAAAUCACAUGUUUUAAUCUCAGUUUUAUUUGCAUGGGCUACAGGCUAUAAUUAACAUCAAGUGGCAAGACAGGAUCACAUACAGUAGAGUCCUGGAGUACAGUCAGGUCACCAACAUUGAAACAAGCUUUCUGCUACUUAACUAUUCAAGACUAGGUCUCUGUGGCCACAGAGAAAUGACUAAGGGAGUAUUUAAUGACCAAUUAUGUGAGGAGGAUAAAGAGGGGUGGACUUUCACCACUAAAUGUAGUGGUAAGUGAGAUUGUAUUUUAUUUUGAUACCUUCUAACUUCUUUUUCAAUGCUUGAUGCCUAAAUUAUUUUGUAAUCUGGCCUUUGCCAACUUAACUUCUCAUAGAAUUCUACCAUAUACCCAAGGCAUACAGACAUAACAUGAAAACUCCCUGCCAAAAACAAAACAAAUUCUACUUCAUAGACACUGAGAAAAAGCAGCCAUCUAUGAUCCAGAAAAAUGGGAACUUACCAGACAUUGAAUCUGCCAGCACAUUGACCUUGGAUGUCCCAGUCUCCAGAACUAUGAUUAAUGUUGUUAUGGAAGCUGGAGGCUGAGAAGUCCCAUUAUCUGCCACCAGUACGAGCCAGAAUCCCAGGAAAACUCAUGGUAUAAUUUCAACC
rnacentral:lncRNA from 1 species